UGUUUCCUUUUCUCGCGAAUGCAACAAAUUUCAUUCAAAUCAGUCCAGCAGUUGUCUCAUUAAAGCAUUUCUGUGUUUUACAUGUAUCUGAACUGAGAAAUCGGAAGUUGGCCCCAAGCUAG
rnacentral:lncRNA from 1 species